rnacentral:misc_RNA from 1 species
GGGCGAGACAUGACCGCGACUUAAGAUUCAAGUACCGUCGAAAAGACUAAAGGAACGGGGGGAAUGACUACCUGUAAUAAAGCACAGGCUAAUACGAGCCGACCAGAAGAAGCAAGGCUUAGAUUACCAGAUCCUGGACACAAUCUUCCUAGAGAUGGAGAGCCCCUUGCCUCGCCUUUUCUAGGUUUUUUUCUGAGUGUUAAAACGGGUAGAUUUUUCAUUUACCAAUGAAUUGGAUCCGCCCCGAUUCGAUCAAUAAUGGGAUUCUUGGCUAGAAGAAAGGUUCUGUGACAUGGACGCCCAGCCCAACUCGAUCGGUCGGUUGGCUCACCUAACAGAUGAUGAGAUUCUCGAUCGAUUUGAUCGAAUU